rnacentral:rRNA from 1 species
CACGUAGGGUGCGAGCGUUGUCCGGAAUUAUUGGGCGUAAAGAGCUCGUAGGCGGUUUGUCGCGUCUGCUGUGAAAACCUAGGGCUUAGCCCUGGGCCUGCAGUGGGUACGGGCAGACUGGAGUACUGCAGGGGAGACUGGAAUUCCUGGUGUAGCGGUGGAAUGCGCAGAUAUCAGGAGGAACACCGGUGGCGAAGGCGGGUCUCUGGGCAGUAACUGACGCUGGAGGAGCGAAAGCCGUGGGGAGCGAACAGG